rnacentral:tRNA from 1 species
GGGCUCGCCUAGGUUCGUACCGAGAUGGCUUUGGACUAGGGAUGACGCUGCCCUGAUAAGGCAGAGGUCACUGGUUCAAGUCCAGUUAGGCCCA